CUCGACCGUCAUUUUCGCGGCUUUCUUGAAUACUCGAUUCUGAUUGGACUUCAUUCCUUGGCGGAAGCUUUAAGAGAACCUGACACACCACGCUUGAGUGCAGAAGCCUGGCUAAAACCUGCACAGGUGUUGAACCACAGCAGGAAAAGGAGCAGAGAAAGAUCCACUUUCUGAAUAAAUCAAGCAGAAGCAAUAUCCUGCAUGUGUAGAGAGAUGGACGGGAGCCCAUGUAAUAUUAAAAGCGCCGUGUCUGGCAACGCAAGCGGUGCCACUCCUUUCAUUGCUCCUGCUCCCUCCACUACCCGGCCACUGGCUCUUCUCUCAAGGUGACACUUCAAAGCACCAACGCAGACGUGGAAGGCCUGGCUGCCAGCAUGGAGCCAACCCAACCCUCCUCCACCCC
ensembl:lncRNA